UGUACAAACACUGGAACAUAAAUAAACCUGCAAGACGUAUGUUGUAAAAGAGCGUUGUCUUUUCUACAUACCAUGAUGUUAAUACUUCAGCCAGCCAUGCAGGGAAUCAUGAUCUUAGGAUUGCCUGCAUGUUCCAAAAAAGCAACAACUUAAAUCAGACAGACAUUCUUCUUCUAAACUGUUUUUCAACUAUUAAGGGCCCAAUCCAUAAGCCCUUGGAAAUCAAUGGGAAGUAUUCCAUGUGUUCAGUGGACUUGGCAUCAGGCCCUAAAAGUCAUCAGGGAGUCACCACAGGGAGUACCAGUGGACAAAGGAAUGAUUGUAGAAAGUACUAUGGUGCUAUUUUCUCUCCAAUUUCCUGGUCAAAGUCUAAAAUAAAAAUUGCAGAUUAGAAAAUCCUUUGAGAAUGGGGUUCAGCAAGUGAAACUGUUUGAAGACCUUAAAGGGACACAGUCAAAGUUGGCAGAAAUCAGAUUUGAACUAUUUAUUUUCCUUCAAGUUGCCUAAUUCAGGAAAAACUUUCACUUUUUCCCCAAAUAAUCACACUUUCAUGAUCUAUUUAAAUUAAAUCAACUCAAGAAGCCAAGCAUGCAGGAAGAACUGAACAUUAACCAAAUAAUAUAUGUAUGCAAGGGAGAAAAAAAUUGCCAAAUCCUCCUCCCCCAAAGUCACUUCCAGUCUUCCCAAGUAAUAUCAUGAAUAACUGUUAAAUAUUUAUAUUUUGUAUUAAAAAUAUAUUUGGAUCUCUUCUAAGAAUGAUGUAAAAAUAACCUCAAUAAGAAGGCCAGUUGAUAACCAGUUGUUUUGGAAAGUACUGCAAAAAAAGUCUGAGAAUUAUUUUUGUAUUUGAUUAUUUUAAGAUGAAGUUGGUUUGAUUCUCCAUUACAAAAAAAAUCUUUCACAAAUACAGUCCCAUUUCCUGUUUGUGAACUGUUCACACACCAAUCCUGAUUUCUAAAAAUAUGUCUGUUAUUUUUAAAUAUUGGCUGAAUAGUUUAUGCAAACAAUGUCAGAUUUGUUCACACACUGAUCCCUUCUACUAGUCACUGUUCGUAGCACAUGAUUUCUUACUAGAAUCGCAUGGAUACUGUAUCCAGUCUGUACAAAGUUUUUGAAAACAGGAGAAUAUCACAUGACAAAAAACAAUACAAAAUAAAAAAAAAAGAGAGAGU
rnacentral:lncRNA from 1 species